rnacentral:misc_RNA from 1 species
GAUGAAGAACGCAGCGAAAUGCGAUAAGUAGUGUGAAUUGCAGAAUUCAGUGAAUCAUCGAAUCUUUGAACGCACAUUGCGCCCCUUGGUAUUCCAUGGGGCAUGCCUGUUCGAGCGUCAUUUGUACCUUCAAGCUCUGCUUGGUGUUGGGUGUUUGUCUCGCCUCUGCGUGUAGACUCGCCUCAAAACAAUUGGCAGCCGGCGUAUUGAUUUCGGAGCGCAGUACAUCUCGCGCUUUGCACUCAUAACGACGAAGUCCAAAAGUACAUUUUUACACUCUUGACCUCGGAUCAGGUAGGGAUACCCGCUGAACUUAAGCAUAUCAAUAAGCGGAGGA